rnacentral:misc_RNA from 1 species
CCGAGUUUACAACUCCCAAACCCCUGUGAACAUACCUGUCGUUGCUUCGGCGGCCACGCCCCGGUGCCCCCGUGCCCGGAACCAGGCGCCCGCCGGAGGCCUAAACUCUGCAUCUUUUACAUGUAUCAUCUGAGUGGCACAAUGCAAAUAAAUCA